UCAAAUUCGGCUCGCCUAACCCUAAUGUGUACGGACAAUUCCUCAUUUCGCAUUCAAUUGAGUACACAAAUUUCUCGGCAAUAUCUUCUGUUUUUUGCCACGUAGCAAGCCGAGGCAGCAAGCUCACCUCGCUGCCUCGGCUCACUACUGUUGUUUCUCCGCGGAGUUUCCAUACCUCCGCGGAGCUAUUUUCGCGCGACAAAGCGGCUCCAUCGGAGCUCAAAUCCGUGAUAGGCGCUUUGCCGCGACUCGAACUGUUUUCUUCGUCUUCACAUAACAGAGCUAUGAUUUGGAGCUGACUCGUUCCGAGUGAUUCGAGUCGGCGUGUCCACUCUCUUCGAUUCGUGUACGGCCUCGGAUCAGACAUAACGGUCGACACGAACCGGAAAGUGAUCUCCAAAGCCGAUAAAGCCGGUUUCAUCACCGGUUCAUU
rnacentral:lncRNA from 1 species